ACGGAAGGCAGCAGUGGGGAAUAUUGCACAAUGGGCGAAAGCCUGAUGCAGCGACGCCGCGUGAGUGAAGAAGUAUUUCGGUAUGUAAAGCUCUAUCAGCAGGGAAGAUAAUGACGGUACCUGACUAAGAAGCACCGGCUAAAUACGUGCCAGCAGCCGCGGUAAUACGUAUGGUGCAAGCGUUAUCCGGAUUUACUGGGUGUAAAGGGAGCGUAGGCGGCAAGAUAAGUCUGAAGUGAAAGCCCGGGGCUCAACCGCGGGAUUGCUUUGGAAACUGUAGUGCUAGAGUGUCGGAGGGGUAAGUGGAAUUCCUAGUGUAGCGGUGAAAUGCGUAGAUAUUAGGAGGAACACCAGUGGCGAAGGCGGCUUACUGGACGAUUACUGACGCUGAGGCUCGAAAGCGUGGGGAGCAAACAGGAUUAGAUACCCUGGUA
rnacentral:rRNA from 1 species